CUGGCCAGGGCAGAGACCAGCACCUGCCAGGCUGAUGGCACCUGGUCCUCACCCACCCCGGAGUGCCAGCCAGUUCCCUGAAGCAAGGGGUUCGGAUGCUGGAGCUACCGCUUGCCAGGGGCAUCCUUAACCGUGCAGGGCUGGCGACCUUGCAGUGGCUUUUGAGGACUGAGGGAGCGACAGGAGCAUAAGAGUGGCUCUGUGCAGGCCAGCGGUGAAUGUUACCAGGGUGAGUUCCCUCCAGACGGCUCCCGGGAUGCUCAGGGAGGACAUGUUCCCCUGUCCUGGCCUCUUGGCUUUUGACCAGGUGGGUACUAUGUGGGCACCUUGGUGGGUGUGAAGGCCUGAGGUCAGACCGCCCAGGCCUCUAGCCAGGGCUGGGAGAGGCGUGAAGGCCCAGGGCUUCCCCUCAGUCUCCCCACAGGAAUGGGGAGGAGGUGAGGGCAGCCCGCAGCCUCGCGUGGCUGGACUACUCACCCUUCAGGUCCAUCCAACUCUGCUCAGCGAAGCUCAGCACCUCCUGGUUCAGCAGCACCUCCAGACCUCUGGUCCCAUUGGCCAGCCUGACCUCCACCACGUCUGAGUUGCCCUCCUGGACGGCCACUGCAGUCAGCCCCGUGCCACGGGUCUGUGUGCCUGUGGUGGUGGGAGCGGAAUGGGUGCCACUUGGCUCCAGCCUCUCACCUUGGAUGUACCCCAUGCCACUCAGAGCAGCCCCUAGCCCUGGCCUCACCGUUGGACAUCCUCCCAGGCUGGGCCCGCGCCUGCACCCUCAGGCCUGGCACUGAGUGUGUGCCCAGGCCACAGGGUCCUCUCGGAAGUCAUCGCUCAGGUGCCAGGCCAGCGUGUGGUCAUUGGUCCAGAGCGCCUGCACGUCCCUGUGGAGACAAUGAUGCUGGAGCUGGGGCCAGGCCACACCACCCCAUGGUCGCCCACUCUCCGCACCCCCGGCCCGGGCUGCCCAGGGGUCAGCAGCACCCGGCGAACAGCAGCAGGAGGAGCUGCGAGAACAGUUGCUCCUGGGCAGAGCUGCACUUGGGCAUCUCCUGCCACCACCCCCUCCCCAGGGGAGCCCAAGGUAGGGGAGGCUCAGCGUGGAAUGAAACAGGGGAGUGAGGGACACAAAGAGAUGGGAAGUGGGAGGGCUCUAGCCCCACCAAGUAUGCAGAGACCCCCUCAUUGUCCUGGACACCACAGGGGCACCUGCAGGUCCUCUGUGCAUGGGCCUGGGAGGCAGACCUGCCCUAAGGGUGAUGUGGAGGCUACAGGUGCCACAUGCACCAGCACCCACUCUAGCCAUCAGCCUCCAGGUUGACUAAGGGUCAGGCCAGGUUUGAACCCAUGCUUGACUGGGCCAGGACCCGUGGCUAGAGCACCUGGGAGCUCCUUCAGUCCUGUUCUGCAGGAAGGAGGACAGCAGACU